rnacentral:rRNA from 1 species
GCGCAGCAGUCGCGAAUACUUUACAAUGUGCGAAGCACGAUAAGGGAACUCUGAGUGCCUCCUAAGGAGGCUGUUCUGAUGUCUAAAAGCAACAGAAGUAAGGGCUGGGUAAGACCGGUGCCAGCCGCCGCGGUAACACCGGCAGCCCAAGUGGUAGCCACGUUUAUUGGGUCUAAAGCGUUCGUAGCCGGCCAGGUAAGUUCCUUGGUAAAUUUAGCCGCUUAACGGUUAAGCUUUCAGGGAAUACUGCUUGGCUUGGGACUGGGAGAGGUCAGAGGUACUCCGGGGGUAGGGGUGAAAUCUAUUAAUCCCUGGGGACCACCGGUAGCGAAGGCGUCUGACCAGACCAGGUCCGACGGUGAGGGACGAAGGCUAGGGGCGCGAACCGGAUUAGAUACCCGCGUAGU